rnacentral:lncRNA from 1 species
AAGGACUGACAGAAACCGCAACUAUCGUGGAAAUUACGAAAACAGUCCUCCAUCGCAAGGUAAUUACCAGAACAGCGCUCCACCCCAAGGAAAUUACCAGAACAGCUCGCCACCACAAGGAAACUUCCAAGCGUACCGUCCGCAGCAAGAUGUAAGAGGCCAUGCUCCACAGCAGAAUUACACACAAGCUGGACAAGAUGGCAGAGGUUAUGGGAGGAAUGAUUCUGCCGACCGUUCAGGUUACAAUGCGCCUGGUGGGUACCAAGGGCGUGUAAAUGAAGCCGGUCAAGGUUUCCAAAACCCACAAGAGCGCAGGAGUUUCUCGCAAGGACAGGCAGGAGAUCUCAGGCCUGGUGGCCCUUCUGCACCUGGAAACUAUGGUCAACCGCCUGCACCUGGAAACUAUGGUCAACCGCCUGCACCUGGAAACUAUGGUCAACCGCCUGCACCUGGAAACUAUGGUCAACCGCCUGCACCUGGAAACUACGGUCAACCGCCUGCACCUGGAUCCUACGGGAAGCCAGCUUAUGGGCAACCGUCUGGAUCGAGAUAUCCUGGAGGUAACCUAGGGGGUCCUGCUUAUGGUGGAGACAACAGACAGGGUGCAGCACCUGCAUAUGGGGGAGAUAACUCACAAGGGGCUUCCGAUCAGUAUCCUGGCCCAGGUGAAGGACAAGGGAACUGGCAGGUAUAAAAGCAUUGUCAUAUGACUUUUACUGGCACCGUGUACAACUAUUGGAUUGAAGUCCAUCAAUGUUGAUUUUUUUGGUCCAUAAAGCUUAAAUCACAUAAUUAUGGUGCCACCUAGUACUUCGAAAAAACCUAUGAAUAUUACUUUAUCAUGCCUGUAGUGCUUGCCUACAAAGGGAUUGGAGUUUGUAUGUUGACUGUUAGAUUUCAGUUUCAACAUGUCUCCUAAGUGGACUAAAUUUUUGUUCUUAAAUGCUUGACCCAUCUGCUUGGUAAAACAUGAGAACAAUGGACCCGCUGAGUUGUUAAAUAUAAGUGCAAGCAUAUAUUAAUUAUUAUUCAAUCAUUUAUAAGGAAAUCCUGGCGCAUACAUCAACCCAAGCUAUGACAAAUUCUUAGUCUGUUCCAAUUUCUCUGCACACUCAUUUGGCAGCAGCUGUUCUCCAGAGGAAUAUGCCUGUGGAAAAUUGUGUCUGUAGUCUUGCUAAUACUGUUAUUAUGUGGCUAAUCACUGACGCCUCUUCAUUUUGGUGUCGUGUAGGGUAGGCAGUAAGGACCUGAUGAGAAGUAGCUUCAUGAAGAACAAGGCAUUAGUUGCUCUACUACUUGGAAUGUAGAAAUUUCCACCUGUAAAAUAAACAACUGAACUACUUUAUCGUCUCCUGUGGCCUGUAUUAUCCAUGCGUGUUACUAUUUCUUAUAGCCAUAUAUUUGCCAUUUUGAAAGGUUUGUGGAGUCUGGAGCGGUCUCUGCUUUUGAUGGAUGUUUCGUGCCUUAGUUGUUGUCGAAUAUGUGAUGUAUUUCUGCAACUUGGAUACAAGCACUAGAAUUAUUGCAUCUGAUGGUCCUCGCAAGUGCACUAUACAUACAAGUUGAUGCCUAAAAUUGCAACCUCAAGCAAUAUACUGGCUGUGAUUGUUACUCGUGACCAUUGGAUGCGCAUUGACAUUCGUUAUUCCUUUUCAAGAGAUACCGUUUAGAUGCUUUGAUUGAUCGAUUUUAGGAUUGGGCAUCUCAAUCCCUUCGGAUGAGAUUUCAAAAGAUUUUGGUGGUCAACUUUCAAGAUAUACAGAAUAAAAUCUGCUUUUCAGUGGAAUAAUAUUGCGACACAAGUCAUAAUGGGCAAGUGCAGUAAAAUAUACUCCAUCUGUACCAUAACGUAGUGCAUAUAGAUUUUUUAAAAGUCAAAUAUAACAAACCUUGACCAAGUUUGCAGAGAAAAAAAAUUCUUCCCGAAUGCCAAAUAUUUAUCAUUAGAGUCAAGUAGUUUCAUAUUUUAUAUAUUUGGUAUGAUAGAUAUAAAUAGUCUUCUCCAUAAAUUUGGUCAACUUUUGCAAAAUUUGACUUAAAAAAAUUUCUAGAUGCACUACAUUAUGAAAUGAAGGGACCAUGUUCUUUUUUAUUAAACAUACCUAUGAACACACACAGGCACAACCUGUUUAUAUGAGCACACCCAAGAGACCAAAUGAAUAAAGUUUGGAAUUGACGAAGUCACCACAGAUAUCAUUUCCCAUUGAACUAAAAUUUUCUAAGAGCCUAUAAUAAAUAUUGGAAAUGCAAACAAUUUGGACAGGGUGGGCUGGUUCUACCACAAGGAACUUAACCAUUUGAAUUCUUUUCCCUCAAUGACGCAUAGGGUGAAGACCUCAUCUCCUCUAGGCUCCGCCGGUCAGCCCAUGAAUUCACCUCCUUUUUGUCCGCCACCCCAUGGACCGGUGGCGGCAAGGGAAAUCCCGGUUCCUUGGCUUUCAGCUAUUAGAUUAGGUUAGGGGUUUUUAGUCCUCGCAGGGGCGACAUUUGGACCGAUGAUGACGCUUCAUCUUCGAGUUGGUUUUCCGAACUUUGAUCCUCCUCGAGUUCGUCCGAGAGGACGGGUUCGACGAAGCUUCGGUGUAGAUUUCUGUCAUCUCCUUGUGAUAGCGAGGUUAGGGUUUCUCAUCGUACGUAAGCGACAACAAGAUCUGGUGUUGGUCGCUUUCGAUCGAUUAAAGGGUUCGCCAUCAGUGACUACCGCUCAAGGACGUUGGCCCUUAGGGGCAUGCGCACGACUUCCUAACAGUCAUCGGCGAGGUCAGGCCAACUUCAAUAGAGAGCAACGACAGAGGCGCACCGACGACUCAUUGACGAUGGUAGCGGUUGUUCGGUGAUCAAGACACCUCAAUGUAUUUUUAUUAUGUUUGGUAUGUUCUGUUCCUCUCGUGAACUUCAUCGAUCUCCAUGCUGGUGUGGUGGGCCAUUUGGAAUGAACGUAACGCAAGAAUGUUUCGACGCGCACCUCCGCAAAUCUUGCUCAACAUCAUUAUUGUGAUAGCCUGACUUAUUAGGGAUGAUAGACUACUCAUAUCAAUAAGGAAUUCCUUCUUUUUCGGGAACCCAUUCGAAUAGAACUACCAGGUUAAGCAUGCUCGGCUUGAAGUCGUUCUAGGAUGGGUGACUGACCGGGAAGUUGAUCCCGGAUGCGCAUGAGUGCGGUUACACGGAUGUUUGCGGACAAGUGUGCGGUCAUGUUGUUCAUGACGUUUGUGACCCGUCGUGGCACACGACAUGACACAUGUACUGGACUGGUUGCACAAACGUUUGUGCCAAGAGGGAACGCUCCCGUGGCCCGAUGAGGACGUCGGUUUCUCUGAGUGGUGGUGUAUGUGAUAACCUGGCUUAUUAGAGAUUAUAGACUACUCAUAUCAAUAAGAAAUUCCUUCUUUUCCGGGAGCCCAUUCGAACAGAAGUACCAGGUUAAGCGUGCUUGACUGCUUGGCUUAAAGUAGUUCUAUGAUGGAUGACCGACCGAAAAGUUGAUUCUAGAUGCGCAUGAGUGAGGACAAAGUACGCAAAAAAGGCUAGUAUUGAAACGUGGGCCAGUCUAGAUCCCGCGAGGAGUAACGAACGCCGGCGGAUAUGUUCGGGGCGUUACAAUUAUCGAUGAAGCAAACCUUUGUAUCAAAGCCGGGGCAAAACUGCGAGAAUAAUUGUCAUGUCGUAACUUGGAUGUAUCGUUGCAACAACCUUUUUCUCCUUCUUAUUUAAUAUAUGAGGUAAAUCUAUUCUCUUUGUUUUAAAAAUAAAAUAAAAUAGAUGAGGGAUAUCCAUCUCUCGGGUUAAAAUAAAAGCCUCGGAUGAAGUUCCAGUGAUCCAAAAUCCUCAUUUAAAUGCAAUUGAUUUCACUUGGCUACAAAUACAAUUUUGAAUGAUCCCAGUUGUGCGACUCAGGUUAAAUGCGGUAAGGACCACCUGUCCUGACCUCCUCCCAUGUCCACACUAUAAAUACCAGCUGGUGUGAACCAGCAGGGAUGUAUGCCACACACAGAGCCCCAAAGAGACCCAUCAUCAAACAUACAUCAGAGAAGGAAUUGUAUAUCAAAGUGUGAAGAGGUAGAAGUAGAAGAAGAAGAAGAAGAAGAAGAAGAAGAAGAGGUGAAGCCUUGCAUGGAGAUGGAGAGCCUCCCUUCAUCUGGUAGCCAAGAAUGACUUGCCUAUGCAAUGCCUCUGCUAACUGAUCCAUCUCACCAUCAAUUUGGGCAAAGUUCUUGUGAUGGAUGCAGUUUGUGUGGUUGCAUGGGUGGGUCUUCUUGGCUAACCAGAGUGGCUCUCAUCCACCAUGCCAGGCCAUCCCUCUUCAAGAAACAAAGAAAUCUCUCUCUGAAGCCACUGGCUUCGAUCUCCAUUGCAGAUCGAGUUCAGUUUGGCAAUGUGAUAAUCGUCUAUGCCUCCUGAUCUCCCAUUCUGAUUUCUUCUUUCUUCAGGUGAGAACCAAAUGCUGUUUUUUCAGUUCAGGUGGGCAACUUCUGGAUUCAGAGUUAAUAUCAUCAUCGUGAUUAUGGGAGAGAAUUCACUGUAGCAGCAGCAGCACCACCAAGUUCCCAACCAAGAUUACCAAGCUUUGCUGUGGCCAAGUCCAUGCUUCCAGGUAGACGGAGACAAUUUCCCUGAUUAUUUCUGAUGUUGUGCUGCCACCAGGUGCAUGCAGGGUUUGCCAGGUAUAGUACGUGCGACAGAGUUCACCAGAUCCAAGAAUUGCAGAAGCUUCUUUCUGCCAGACCGAACGGACACGAGGAGUUUGCGCGGCGGUGUGCAUGGCCACACGUGUGCCAUGAACUGCAGCACACAUGGACGUGGCCCCGUCCUGACGAGUGCCCUCGCUGUGAGCACGUUGCGCAGAGGGUUCCGUCUCCAUCUGUCCAAGUGCCAUGCUCCAUGCUGCGAAAUAAAGAUUCGUUUACGGGCGAUGUGGAAAUAAAGUUGGAAAUAGCAGUACAUGAAAAUGUACACUUUUUAGAAGACCCUAAAUUUGUCUUUUUUACCGAAAGCUAUUCAAAUGUUCAAAUAAUUUGAAAUUUGAAACGGACAUCACACAUCAAAUUCUCUACUAUGACAAAAAAAUAUUGAAACUAUGACAAAAAAAUUGGAAUUUUUAAAAUUUUGCGAGUAUUUGUUUCGAUUUUUUUAUUUAACAUAGACGCAGAUGAACCCGGGAGCCAAAACACCCCACUCACAAAAACGAAUAUCCAAUUCUGAGCCCAGGCCUAUCUGCACCCGGUCAAAAAAAAGUCAUACAAAUUCAAAAAAGAAAUACAAUUUUUAACACACACACACAUAUAUAUAUAUAGGGUCGCGCUAUUCGUCAUUUUGGGUGAGGAAUAGUCAUUGUUCACCCUCCUUUAUUUUAACGUCUAUGCAUCGUAAUUUUACGUUUCUUAAAUUUUGUUUUAUUUUAUACGUAAAAAGAGACCGUAAAAAAGUAUAAUCAACGUAAAAAUAUUUUAUGUCACGUAAAAUUACGAGCAUACAAAAACAGUGCAAAAAAUACAAUAAAUUUAAUUUUUUCUAGUCUUGUGACCUAUAUUUUUGUUUUUUCUUCUGUCAAAUUUUACAUAGUGAUUCAAUAUAAAUGUCAUUAUUUGUAUUUCAAAUGUAAUUUAUUUGUAAAUUGAUCGUAAUAUUAUUUCGGGUGAGGAAUAAACUAUUCUACACUCUGGAUGAUGAAUAAUCAAUACUAUUCAUCGUCCAGGGUGUAGAACGAGUUAUUCCUCACCCGACGUAAUUUUACGAUUGUUUCAUAAUUAUUUUUUGUUUUGUAUACAAAUAGCUACAUGCACAUUGAUUCUUUAUGUAAAAUUUGGCACAAGGAAACAAAAAUAUAUGUCAAAAGAUCGUACAAGUGCAUUUUAUGUGUAUUUUACACUAUGUUUUUAUGUUCGUAACUUUGCAUAAUGUAAUUUUUUUUACAAUGAUUUAAUAUUUUCUUACGUUCUUUUUUUAGGUAAGAAAUAAGAAAAAAAUUACGGGCCAUAAAAAUAUGGUGCAUUGAUAGUAAAAUAGAGGGGUGAAGAAUAACUAUUCCUCACCCAGGAUGACAAAUAGAGUGAAUAUAUNNNNNNNNNNNNNNNNNNNNNNNNNNNNNNNNNNNNNNNNNNNNNNNNNNNNNNNNNNNNNNNNNNNNNNNNNNNNNNNNNNNNNNNNNNNNNNNNNNNNUCAAUACUAACUAUGGAUUAAGAAUGCACUGAACACAUGGAAUGCGGAAAUGAAUAUCUGAACAACAUGGUAACAAGCAACUGCUAUAUAUACACCAUGGUUCAUAUACACCAUUACAUAGUUCAGUACAACCUUAACCGAAGAGCAAACUACUGAAAACAUGAAACUACUCAUCAGAGGCUUCCAAGCUUCCUAUACAUUAUUUAUCUAUGCCUCCGGAAUUCAUUUCACGACACAAGCAUACUUCACAAGUCACACGGGACUGUGAAAGUACAGCUACUACCACACUAUCCUUCCACUCACGGUUCAGGCAUCCGCAUAGAACAUCUCAUAAAGAUUGCCUCCAUGGCGUGGAAGCUCAACCUGCGGAUCAGGAAAUACUCCAGCCUGAGACCCCUGGGAUCCAUAAGGACACGGGUGUGGCCUUGGUCCCCUGGCUGGUGGUAGUAGAGGUCCCCGAAGAGGGGUGACUCCUCCUAUAGCAGGCCAGUCAACAUGAGCCGGAAGAUGGGUUCUAACAGGGUUCAGCAUCUCCAUAUCUCCAUACCCUGUCUGGACUACAGGUGCCAGCUGCAUCAAAGCCGUCCACAGACGGGCACGUGUAGCAUAGAGCUCCAUAUGAAGGGCACGAGCAUCCCUGUCUCUAUUCUCUAGCAUCUCAGCAGUGGACUGCAGCAGCGGAUCCUCCAUAGAGGAAUCAAAGUAGACCCCACUAAGGUAUCCUUCUUCACCUGGCUGAGAGGCAGGAACAUAGCAGAACUCUGAAUUCUGCAGCAGUGCAUGUCUAGCCCUCAUGAUGGUCAGCACUGAACAGGCAACAUCUUGUACUGCCAUGUCAACAGUGACCCCCAAUCCAUAAGACCAAUGGAUCGGCUCCUCAGCUCCAGGGUAAUCUAGAAAUACCCUAACAGUGCAGAGGUACUGACUCUGAUUAAAAUCCCGGUACUGCUCCUCCACUGUGUACUCUGGGUACCAGCGGUAACCGGAUACUGACAUCAUCCUAACUAGCAAGGCCGUAUGACCCGGCACAUCAACGCACCUAGUCAGACGAACCACCUGACGAGAAGGACGGCCAGGCAUAUGAAAAUAGAGAGUAAUGCAAAAGCAUUAGAGCUCUGAAGACAAAAUUGGUCAGCAUAACGGCUGUAAAUGCUCAAAAUAAUUUUGAGACAACCCAUAAAAAUAGGAUAGCGUAACCACUCAACUAUCAAGUUCAAUUCUCUGAUCAUCAAAACUUACUUCCUUUUCCUUGGGAUAAAAGAAACCCGAAGUAACUCUCGACCCGUUGUCCUAUAAUCUACUGAUCAGAAACACGAGCCUAAGAGAAGAUAAGUAACCUAGUCCUUAAUCCCCGCAGAAAAGACGAGGAUGGCCAGAAUAGAAUAACUUGAUAUGAGAAGCAAGAGUCUUACAUUCCCUUCCACAAACAAUUCCCUUAUAUAUAACUAAAGCAAUUCUAGACUCAACUUCGACCUGUUUGGCUUAGUAAUCCUACAGUCAGUCAGGCUCUGUUACCAACGCUGUCGGGACCCCGAUCCUAAGCCAUAGGAAUCCAGCUUGUAACACAUCGCAUCUCUUUGCGGUCUCACGCAUGGUUAUCCCCACGGCUGCAGCCUUACCUUAGCUGGGACCGUUUGCGCCUUUUGACUCACGUAUGCAAUGGGGUCGCUAGCAAUCCAAUGACAAAGAAACUGGAUCAACAUGUUUAGUCAUAAACCAAAGCGGCAGUUCCGCACAGGGACAGGCAUACAUGACCCAGCAAAGCAGGUGUCGAUCACCAGCGAAUGUAGACGAGCCGUAGCAAGCUACAAGGACUCCAUUACAUCGCGUGACAUUUCCCCAAAGGGACAGACACAGCAGCUAAGAAGGACACAUGCCGGUCAACCAAUGUGUCCGGAGCAGUAGCGAACUACCAUGGCUCGUUGGAAUCACAAAGGGGCAUUUCCCUCUAAGGAGUACCACUAAAGCCAACGGCUAGGUGUUCGAACCCCAUACAUAUCAAGUACAACACACGUAUGCAUGGCAUACCGAUAUGUAUAGAUACAUCGAUGGCAUCACAACAUAACCAUAAACAUACAAACUUUAUUUAGAAGGCUCGGAAGAGCCACACACAUAAUAUUACAAGGUAGGGGUCUCACGAUCCAUCAUCACAAGUCAUACACACAAUUAUUACAUGCUAGCGAAAGAUUUGAAACUGUCUGAGUACAGAAAGAGGGAAAGAUAAAGGCACAUGGCCUGACUAUCUACAGACCCAUCCUAGGGCCAGAUCGUAGCUGGGAUACCAGCUACUCGUCAUCGUCGAUGUCUAGGUAGAACCCUCCUUUAGGGUCAUUAACAACCUCUACAACAAUUUAUUAAGCAAAGGUUAGUACAAAAGUACUCAGCAAGACUUUAGGAUAAACUAUCUACUCAUGCAAUGUAUCAAUAAGGAAUUGUGGGGUUUCAUGCGGAAAGCCAGCACUUGACUCAUGGAUAGACAACUUGCAUUUUUAAAUAGUUUUGACAACUUUGAUUUCCCGCACACGAUUCCACUAACACCACAACAAUAGUCCAUCGUGGAAUCAUUCCGUCUCCAUACAAAAUGUCGUCCACGACACUCACGCUUAUCUUGACAAUUUUAUGAGUAGCCAUUAUAGUUAUCUAUGAACAACAUAUGUUUCCAAGUAGUCCAUAUCCGCGGACGCGGCUAUUUGAAUAGAUCAUAACCCUGCAGUGGUGUACUUCUUCACACACGCUCUCGCCACUUAUCUCCAUGUGCACGUCAUGCACCUCGGCAACCUUCAAGCGGAAGCCCAGCGAGGGAGUCCGCCACGACCGUUAACGACGCUAAUACUUAGUCCAGGUCUAUCGCCUAUCUGAGGGUAACCCGCACGGAAGUUCGGCCGAGGUUUCCGCCACGGCCCCAAACGAUGUGCGCAGGGUUCCCAAGUCCACCAUCCGGGUGCCACUUGGUACACCAUGCCACUGCCUACCGCAUCAUAGCCCACCUCUAAGGUCAGCAUUACGCACGGCCUCCAGCAUGACUAUAAACACCAGAAACUACUUCCAACUCCUGGACCGAGUAUUAAGCGAUUACUAAGUCGAGAGGGUCAAUUAAGUAUCCCAACGUGUGGUAGUAUCUAGUCUUGGAUUACAUACACGGAAUUCAGUUCCUAAGGACGGUUCCAAUGAAACAACCCGCCAUGUACUCCUACAUAGCCUUUCACCGGUACCUUUACCAAAUCAGGUUCAACCACUCAACCUUUACUUACUGAACACAUUCUCACAAUUCUGUUCAUCACCCACAUGACUGACCAUAUACAACUCUAGGCAUAGCAUGCAUAGCAGGAUAAGGCACAUCAUGGCUCAAGCAUCUACCAGGUAUGCUAGGUUGCAAGGUUCAGCUAUUUACUGUGACAAGGACAGGUCAUGCAAAGGAAGUGGGUUCAACUAACAUGGAAAAAGCAUUUGAAGCAUUUGAUCCUAAUGCAAUAAGUAAGAGAAGGAGCGAGAACAUGGGAUUUAUCAGGAUGAUCAAAAAGGUUGCUUGCCUUGUUGCUCAGCACAGGGGUGAUAUCGUCAGUCGGAUAAUCAGACGUAUCCGGAGGGGCGGAGCCUACCCGAGUAACAACAAUGAAUCAAUAUCAAACAUAUGCAACAAAAUGAUGCAUGAAAUGCAAUGUAGCAUGGUUUGAGAUGAACAACAGAACCCUUUGGGGUGAUCUAGAUUUGAAAUCAUAAUUCAAAUAUCAUUUGAAUUAUAAUUUAUUACAUUCUUUUAAUUGAUUUGACCUGAAGCUGUUUCAUAACUUUGUUUUUCAUGCAUGAAAAUAGUACAAUUGGAUUCCUUGAAUUUUUCUGAUCCAUUUACAUAUAUUAUUUGUCAAAAUUGGAGUUAUAUUCAAUUUUCUAUGAAUUUCCAAAGUUUUGAACUUAUUCUGGAAUUAUCUUUAAACAGAAAAAGCUUUAUUGCAUCAGCAUGACAUCAGCAGGUCCAACUGGCCGUUGAAAGUCAAACCUGACCAGUGGGACCCACUGGUUAGUGACUCUGGCCAGUUUUUAGUUUAAAUUUCACUUAAUAAACUAAUUAUCAGGGCUGGACCCACAUGUCAGUGACUGAUUAAGUUUUAUUUAAUUAAUUAUUUGUAUUAAUCCUAAACUUAAUUAACCAGAGGUUGGCCCCACCUGUCAUUGGCUAAGGGGGGUCAGAUCGACCGGUGGUGAGGUCAUUCUCGCCGGCGGUGAGCCUCCGGCGACCACCAGAACGGCGGAGGGGCUCGGAAAUGCCUCUCGGAUGACCAAACUUCACGCAGAGAGCACCAGACGAAUGACACUUCACCCGCGGCUCCAUUUUUGCACGUAGCCGGGGAUGAAAUGGCCGGAGAUGAGGCCAGCGACGAGCUUGGCGGCGGCCGAAGCUCGGGCAUCAUCGGGGUCAUUGAAACAGGGGGCAUCACGCGCGGGGCUAGGCUCCUACAGCACCUACGCGACGCACUGAAGCCAUUGGUGGCCUUAGAUGGACCAGCCGAUCACCGGAGAGCUAUCGGGGACGAGAUCCCAUGGCGGAUAUCGUCGAGCUCCAGUGGAAUCGGGUUCUAGAGGAAGGGAUCGAGGGGGAAAUCUUAGGGGAGAGAACCAUGAGCUCACGAGGAGUGCAGAGGCGUCGAGAGUGGGCUCRGGGAUGGCCUGAGGAGGGAGAACCACAGCGGCGAAGCUCCGGUGACCCGAGGAAGAAGACGACGGCUUGACAGCGUUCCAGGGCUUCUCGGCAUCGAGCGACUAGCUCGAGAGCUUCACGGGGUCACGACGAUGCUGAUGCACGGCUCAGGUGAGAGGGAGUGGGAUAGGAGUGACGGCGAGCUCAAGCUUGAGCUUGCGUUCAUGGUGGCCGAGAGGGGGAGAGAGUACAGAGCGAAUGGGGAGGGGAUGAUCUCGGGGAGGCCUCGGGGAGCUUAUCCCCGACCACGCGAGCGCGACGAGGCGCCCAGGCAGGCACGCAGCUGCGUGGGCCAACCGGAUCGAGCAGCGGCCACCUCCUGCUCCGACUGGCAGGAGGAAGACGACAACUAAGGUGGGCUGGGCUUCAGGUGAGCGUCAGGUAAGUCUUUUUAAUUUCUUCCCUUUUCUGUUUCCUGCUUUAUUCUUUCUGUUAUUAGUUUUGUUUUAUUUUUGGCUCCAAACUAUUCCUAAAAUAGUUUGAAAAAUACUGGAGUGUUAGUUGGAAUAUUUCCAACCACUCAUAAAGUUUUCAACAUUUUUUGGAGCUUUAAAUUAUUUGAAAACAAAUAUAUAAUUGAUUUCAGUAGCUUUUAACUUAAAUUUAAAAUGCCAAAAGUGGUUUUAAAAUAAGUUUCAUCUCUGAUAUUUUGUUUUCUAUAUUUAUGAGAAAAGAAGAACUUUUCUUAAUGCCAUUUUGGGUUCAUUGAUUUGACAUCAAUUUUGAAAUGCUUUUGAAUGAGGGGUUGCUAGGGUUUUGCUUUGGUUUCCUUGCUUUGCUUUUGGGUUUUCAUUUCAUUUUCUUGGAUGCAUUGAAAGAAAACAUGAGCACAAGUUACUAAACCCUAACAGGGAUCAGGGAUGUGACAACUCACCCCCACUCAAAAGAAUCUCGUCCCGAGAUUCGGAAGUCGUCGGGAAUAGCGUGGGAUACUCAAGCCGGAGAUGAUCCUCUCUUUCCCAUGUUGCCUCCUUUUCGGAAUGAUUUGACCAUUGAACUUGAAGAAACUUGAGGUUUCGACGUCGAGUGGUACGCUCAGCUUGAUCAAGAAUACGCACAGGGUAUUCUCGGUAUGAAAGGUUAUCUUGGAGAUCAAGCGUUUCAUGGUCCACUUCACGGAUAGGAUCCGAAAAGCAGUGCCUGAGUUGCGAGACGUGGAAAACAUCAUGAACCUUGGAAAGAUGCGGAGGAAGUUCCAACUCAUAGGCAACUUCUCCUCGUUUGUCAAGAAUGCGAAAAGGACCAAUGUAACGAGGAGCCAACUUGCCCUUGAUACCGAAUUGAUGGGUACCCUUCAAAGGUGUAACCCGAAGGUAAGCCUUCUCGUCAACUUCAAAGGUCACAGCCUUAUGAUGACGAUCAUAUUGUCUCUUUUGACAAGACUGGGCUGUUUUCAACUUUUCACGAAUAAUGCGAACCUGCUCUUCUGCAUCCUGGAUCAUAUCCGGGCCAAAGAGUUGCCUCUCACCGGUUUCUGACCAAUUAAGAGGUGUUCGAAUUCUUCGUCCAUAUAGAACUUCAAAAGGAGCUUUGCCCAAGCGUGAUUGAUAACUAUUGUUAUAGGCAAAUUCGGCGAAUGGAAGGCACUUCUCCCAAUUCAUACCGAACGAUAUAACACAAGCUCGGAGCAUAUCUUCUAGGACUUGAUUCACUCUUUCUACUUGACCACUUGAUUGAGGAUAAAAAGCAGUGCUAAAAGAUAAGUGAGUCCCCAUAGCAUUCUGAAAACUUUCCCAGAAGCGAGAAGUAAAGAUACUUCCACGGUCUACGUUAAUCUCCAGAGGAACACCAUGAAGAGACACUAUUCGAGACAUAUAUAACUCUGCUAGCUGGCUAGCUGUUAUACUCUCACAAACUGGAAAAAAAUGAGCUACUUUGGAAAGACGGUCAAUGACCACAAAGAUAGCAUCAUUUCCUUUCUUGGUCUUGGGAAAUCCGGUAAUGAAAUCCAUACUGACUUUAUCCCAUUUACAUUCAGGAAUAGCUAAGGGUUGAAGGGUGCGAGCAGGCCUUUGAUGUUCUGCCUUGACUCGACGACAAACGUCGCAGUUAGCAACGAACUCCGCAAUUUCUCUCUUCAUCCUAGUCCACCAAAACCUCUGGCGUAGGUCGUGAUACAUUUUAGUACUACUAGGAUGAAUGGUGAGAGGAGAAUCAUGAGCCUCCUUAAGGAUCAAUUGUCGCAGACGUUUGCUCUUAGGAACCACUAAACGGUUUUGAAAGAACACAACACCUUGCUCAUUGAUAGAGAAAUCCCUAGCGUUUCCGCUAGCAAUAUUCUCCUUGAUCUGGGAUAUACCCUUAUCAUAUGCCUGCACGGCUAUGAUUUGAUCCCUAAGAGUAGGCUUCGCCACCAGGGUAGAAAGGAAUCCUUGAGGAACAAUAUGAAGAUUUAACUUCCGAAAUUCCUCAUAGAGACGUGGUUGACCUUGUUGUAGCAUCAAAUUGUUACAAUAAGACUUACGACUUAGUGCAUCAGCCAUAACAUUGGCCUUCCCCGGGGUGUAAGUUAUCCCUAAGUCGUAAUCCGUGAUCAACUCAACCCACCGUCUUUGCCUGAGAUUCAAAUCCGGCUUGGUGAAGAUAUAUUUCAGACUUUGGUGAUCGGUGAAAAUUUCGCAACGAUUACCAAGAAGGUAAUGUCGCCAGGUUUUAAGUGCAUGGAUUACAGCUGCAAGCUCAAGAUCAUGUGUGGGAUAAUUAUCCUCAUGUGGACACAACUAUCGAGAUGCGUAUGCAAUCACAUGACGACCUUGCAUGAGAAUGCAACCUAAUCCUUGUCGCGAGGCGUCGCAGUAGAUAACAAAGUCCUUAGAGAAAUCUGGUGGUAGCAACACAGGUGCGGAAGUUAGGCGUCUUUUCAGUUCCUGAAAAUUAUGCUCACACUGUGGUGUCCACUCAAACUUUUUAUCUUUCUUGAGGAGUUCAGUUAGAGGCUUUGCAACCUUGGAGAAAUUCUCGACAAAGCGGCGACAAUAGCUCGCUAGACCAAGAAAACUCCUAACUUGCUUAACCGUUUCAGGUGGAGUCCAAUCAAGGAUAGCUUGAACUCUCUCGGGAUUGACAGCAAUACCCUUACCAGAGAUUACGUGACCUAGAUAGGUCACUUUUGGUAACCAAAAUUCACAUUUUGAAAACUUGGCAUAAAGGCGAUGCUCUUGAAGUUUCAUCAAUACCAGCCUUAGAUGCUCGGCAUGUUCUUGUUCGUUAUUCGAGUAAAUGAGAAUAUUGUCGAGGUAUACUACGACGAAUUUAUCCAAAUACUCCAUGAAGAUUGAAUUCAUCAAGCAAGAGAAAGUGGCUGGGGCAUUGGUUAAACCGAAGGACAUGAUGUUGUACUCGUAUUGGCCAUAACGAGUGACAAAAGCCGUUUUUGGAAUGUCCACGUUCUUGAUCUUGAUUUGAUGGUAUCCCAACCUCAAAUCCAUUUGUGAGAAGACUGAGGAUCCAGCGAGCUGAUCAUACAGGUCGUUGAUCCUGGGAAGCGGAUACUUGUUCUUUAUGGUGACCAGGUUAACUUGUCGGUAAUCCACAACCAUCCGAUCUGUUUCGUCUUUCUUCUUGACGAAGAGGACGGGACAAGCCCAAGGAGAAGAGCUAGGACGAAUGAAACCUUUAUUCAAGGCCUCAUCUAGUUGCUUCUUAAGUUCGGCUAGCUCUAGGGGUGCCAUCUUAUAUUGUCUUCUGGCAAUUGGAACAGUUCCCGGAACAAGGUCUAUUACAAACUCUACAUCUCUGUCACGUGGAAUUCCUGGCAGUUCCUUUGGAAAAACAUCCGGAAAGUCACGAACUACCGGAAUGUCUUCAAGUUCCGGAAGAGGGUUGGCAUUAAGGGAAUAGAGUUGGCAUUUGGCAACUCAAGUAGAGACAUUGACUAUCUCACCCGAGGGAUGGGUAAGCUGAACAUUUCUAGAAUGAGUAUCAAUCUUGGCAUAGUGAGCUGACAUCCAGUCCAUACCCAAAAUGAUAUUGAUUUCCGAAUAUUUCAAGGCUAUCAAGGAUGCUAGAAAAACUAGCAUGUCUACUAGAAUUUCAUUGUCAUAGGUUAUCCUGGAGGUUUGCCACUUACUACCAGGGGUUUGGACAACCAAUGGGAUUGGCAUAUCACAGAAAGACAUGUUAUGCAACUGUGCAUAACUUUCUGAAAUGAAGGAAUGAGAAGACCCAGUGUCAAAAAGAACAGACGCUAGGUGAUGAUUAACAAGGAGCGUACCUAGUAUGACGUCGGGAUCCUCUGCAGCUUCUUUUGCUGAAACAUAGUUCACACGGCCACGUGCAGGAGUUGGCUUCACAUAAUAAGCUUUGCCCAACUUGCCUUGCCCAACGGACUUUCCGGGUUGCUUGGCACCCACAUUCUGAGGACACUCUCGGGAGUAGUGCCCUGGUUCUCCACACUUGUAACAGAUCACCUGAUUGGCACGUGGUGCUGCAUUGCUAGCUGGGUCACCAUAGGUUUUUGCUGGGGGGUUGGUCUAAUUCGUCUGAGGCGCCCCAUAGGAUGGCCUCGGAGUGUAUCUUGGCGGCAGAGAACUAUUUGGAACCCACAGCCUGCGUUUUGGGAACGCGGAACGAGAUGACGAGCCAAAGUCACGGGAGUGCUUCUUUGUGGCUUCAUAGUCGGUAUGACCAGUCUCGGGACUUAUCGCCUUGUUGACCAGGGCUUGGAAGCUUGUACAUUCGUGGAGGCGCAAAUCACGACGAAGCUCAGGGCUCAGACCCUUACGGAAUCUUGCUUGCUUCUUGGCAUCAGUAGACACCUCCUCUGUUGCAUAGCGGGCGAGGUUACCGAACUCGCGGCUAUAGGCAUCCACGGUCAACUUUCCCUGGGUGAAUGCACAUAACUCCUCUCUCUUUCUGUCCAUCAGGCCCUCUGGAAUAUGGUGUAGACGGAAGGCUGCACUAAAGUCUGCCCAUGUGGCCGCUGGUUCAGCAGGACGCAUAGCUUCAAAGUUCUCCCACCACAGAUUGGCGGGUCCUUCCAGAUAGUACGCCGCAAAGGUCACCUUGUCGGCCUCAGAAACAUUCGCGGAGCGAAUCUUGCGUGAUAUACUGCACAGCCAAUCAUCAGCGUCGAGGGGACCGACGGAGUGAUGGAACUUUGGAGCAUUCAGCUUCACAAAGUCAUUGAGGGACACUACAGCAUUCCUAGGCUGACGAGCCAUCUUUUGCUCAAUACACUCUAACAUACGGUUGGUCUCCCUUUUGUUUCUCUGUGCCUUAAGCAUAACUUCCGCCAGAGAGGGAGGGUGAGGCAGUUCCUCCUGCGACGCUUGACUACCCUCGCCUUGCUCAUGAGCAGGGGCACGGUUCAACCUGGUGAACACCAUCCUGACAAACAAACUCACAGCUUAGACCAAUAUCAACAUCAAUACUAACUAUGGAUUAAGAAUGCACUGAACACAUGGAAUGCGGAAAUGAAUAUCUGAACAACAUGGUAACAAGCAACUGCUAUAUAUACACCAUGGUUCAUAUACACCAUUACAUAGUUCAGUACAACCUUAACCGAAGAGCAAACUACUGAAAACAUGAAACUACUCAUCAGAGGCUUCCAAGCUUCCUAUACAUUAUUUAUCUAUGCCUCCGGAAUUCAUUUCACGACACAAGCAUACUUCACAAGUCACACGGGACUGUGAAAGUACAGCUACUACCACACUAUCCUUCCACUCACGGUUCAGGCAUCCGCAUAGAACAUCUCAUAAAGAUUGCCUCCAUGGCGUGGAAGCUCAACCUGCGGAUCAGGAAAUACUCCAGCCUGAGACCCCUGGGAUCCAUAAGGACACGGGUGUGGCCUUGGUCCCCUGGCUGGUGGUAGUAGAGGUCCCCGAAGAGGGGUGACUCCUCCUAUAGCAGGCCAGUCAACAUGAGCCGGAAGAUGGGUUCUAACAGGGUUCAGCAUCUCCAUAUCUNNNNNNNNNNNNNNNNNNNNNNNNNNNNNNNNNNNNNNNNNNNNNNNNNNNNNNNNNNNNNNNNNNNNNNNNNNNNNNNNNNNNNNNNNNNNNNNNNNNNUAUGGACUAAUGGUUGCCUUAAGUUACAUUUUAUAGGAUUUGUCCAUAGGCACUUCUUGAAGUCCAUCUGUUGGGUUCAAGGAGUUUAUAUGAUGACCAAGAUGGUAUUCAAGGUAUUAUCCAAAGAAUGGUCAUAGAGACACAUGGUUGAUCAAGAUCUCAGACAAAGAGUAAAUCAAGAUGAUCAACACUCAAAGCGUACAAGAUGUACCGAGAGGGAUCAAGUGAUCCCAUGGUAUGGUAAGCAUUGUCCAUUACGUGUUUGUGUACUAACCCAUGGUCUUCGUGAGAGUUCUAUGUGGGGGUUAGGUGUGUUUCCAUGGGCUUGCGUCAAAGGGAAGAUCUCAUACAACCCAUGGAGUAUGACGUCAAGUUGUGAUCAUCAUCAAUGGUUGAUCAAGAUCUCAGACAAAGAGUAAAUCAAGAUGAUCAACACACAAAGCGUACAAGAUGUACCGAGAGGGAUCAAGUGAUCCCAUGGUAUGGUAAGCAUUGUCCAUUACGUGUUUGUGUACUAACCCAUGGUCUUCGUGAGAGUUCUAUGUGGGGGUUAGGUGUGUUUCCAUGGGCUUGCGUCAAAGGGAAGAUCUCAUACAACCCAUGGAGUAUGACGUCAAGUUGUGAUCGUCAUCAAGAUUGCGAUGUGCAAGUUCAAGUGGAUCAGCACGAAGAUAGCAUGCUUGAAGCUUGCCGUCCAUUGUGGUGGCAAUGGACUUGUGAAGAUAUGCUGAAGAGUGGCUCACCCAUAGUGAGUAUGGGGGAGCAAUCAACUAGUCUUCAUCAAGCCAACGCAAUCGAGAAAGGUGGUCCAUCUUGAGGAAGCCAAGAUCAUCAUCAUCUAGCUCAAGAGGACGAGGUGCAAGGUAUAGGUUUGUCCCGNNNNNNNNNNNNNNNNNNNNNNNNNNNNNNNNNNNNNNNNNNNNNNNNNNNNNNNNNNNNNNNNNNNNNNNNNNNNNNNNNNNNNNNNNNNNNNNNNNNNCUGWSAUCRAAACAGGGGGCAUCACGCGCGGGGCUAGGCUCCUACAACACCUAUGCGACGCACUGAAGCCAUUGGUGGCCUCAGAUGGACCAACCGAUCACCGGAGAGCUACCGGUGACGAGGUCCCGCGGCGGAUCUCGACAGGCUCCGGUGGAAUCGGGGUCUGGAGGAAGGGAUCGAGGGGGAAAUCUUAGGGGAAAGAACACUGAGCUCACAAGGAGUGCAGAGGCGUCGAGAGUGGGCUCGGGGAUGGCCUGAGGAGGGAGAACCACAGCGGCGAAGCUCCGGUGACCCGAGGAAGAAGACGACGGCUUGACAGCGUUCCAGGGCUUCUCGGCAUCGAGCGACUAGCUCGAGAGCUUCACGGGGUCACGACGAUGCUGAUGCACGGCUCAGGUGAGAGGGAGUGGGGAUAGGAGUGACGGCGAGCUCAAGCUUGAGCUUGCGUUCAUGGUGGCCGGAKGAGGGGGGAGAGGAGUACAGAGCGAAGUGGGGAGGGGAUGGAUCGUCNNNNNNNNNNNNNNNNNNNNNNNNNNNNNNNNNNNNNNNNNNNNNNNNNNNNNNNNNNNNNNNNNNNNNNNNNNNNNNNNNNNNNNNNNNNNNNNNNNNNGCCCACGUUGCUCCACCGCCUCCAAUCUCAACUCUAUUUAGUCCGUAUCGCCCGGAAAAAAAAUCAAGGAGAAGGAUUCAUCGCGUUUUACGAUACGGAGGCGCCGCCACCUCCUGUUCUUCACCUGGAGGGCAGAUCUGGAGUCCGUUCUGGGCUCCGGAGAGGGGAAAUCGUCGCCAUCGUCAUCAUCAACCUUCCUUCAUCGCCAAUUCCGUGAUGCUCUUCACUGUUCGUGAGUAAUCUCAUCGUAGGCUUGCUGGACGGUGAUGGGUUGGAUGAGAUCUAGCAUGUAAUCGAGUUAGUUUUGACGGGGAUUGAUCCCUAGUAUCCACUAUGUUAUGAGAUUGAUGUUGCUACUACUUUGCCAUGCUUAAUGCUUGUCACUAGGGCCCGAGUGCCAUGAUUUCAGAUCUGAACCUAUUAUGUUGUCGCCAAUAUAUGUGUGUUUUAGAUCCUAUCUUGCAAGUUGUAGUCACCUACUAUGUGUUAUGACCCGGCAACCCCGGAGUGACAAUAGCCGGAACUACUCCCGGAGAUGACCAUAGUAUCGUMKSAGUUCAUGUAUUCACCAAGUGUUAAUGCGUUGGUCCGGUUCUUUAUUAAAAGGAGAACCUUAAUAUCCCGUAGUUUCCAUUAGGACCCCGCUUCCACGGGAGGGAUGGACAAUAGAUGUGAUGCAAGUUCUUUUCCCUAAGCACGUAUGACUACAUACGGAAUACAUGCCUACAUUAGAUUGACGAACGGGAGCUAGUUACUUAUCUCUCUGUGUUAUAGCUGUUACAUGAUGAAUCACCACCAUAAGGCUGUGAAGCAUAUUCUUCGAUACUUAGCUCACACACCAACACUAGGAUUAUGGUACCCCAAGGGCUCAAAUCUUCAUCUGGUAGGGUAUUCUGAUUCUUGACUAUGCUGGUGACCGUGUGGAUCGCAAAAUCAACAUCUGGCACAUGCCAUUUUCCNCGGAAGAUCACUAGUCUGCUGGUCCUCAAAGAAGCAGAAUUGCGUAUCACUCUCCACUGCCGAAGCUCGUCUCAGNNNNNNNNNNNNNNNNNNNNNNNNNNNNNNNNNNNNNNNNNNNNNNNNNNNNNNNNNNNNNNNNNNNNNNNNNNNNNNNNNNNNNNNNNNNNNNNNNNNNGUCUUCUCCUUUGUGUUUGCCUGCAGAUUCCAGCUUAGUCCAAUGCAUGAGCAUGCUUAUUAUUGUUCACAUCGUUCGUUCGUGCAAGUGAAAGGCAAUAAUGAUGAUAUAUGAUGAAGUGAUUGAGCCUGGAAAAGCUGGUAUGAACUCAAUCUAUUUUGUUUUGAAAUAUGACUAGCUCAUUGAUCCUGAUUCAGCGUGGAGGAGCUGAAAUAUUUCUAAGUCUGGAAUCUGUUAUAUUUUGUUGAUGUCUUGUCUUGCUUGUAUCUUUUGAUCUAUAGCUCUUUUGAGGUUGGUCCAAUGGAGUUAGUUGUAAACCUUGUGUUUAUCUAGCUUGCUGUGAAUUUUCAUGCCAUUUGGAGACCUGUAGCUUAAGGUUUUGCUGCUGUCAAUAUGCCUUCAGAUCGAAAACUGCACUUUCAUGAAGUGUUAUUUUCACUCAGUCCGAAAUAGUGUGUGGGAUCCACCAAGCUAUAAGAGCUUUGUGUUGAACUAUAACAUGCAAGGGAUGAACAAGUCACCCAGCGAGUUAUUCGCGAUGCUAAAAGUCGUAGAGUCAGAACUCCGUAAAGAGCAUCAAGUGUUGAUGGUGAAUAAGACCACUAGUUUCAAGAGAAACGGCAAAAGGAAAGAAGGGUAAUUCAAAGAAGAGCGGCAAUCCUGUUGCCAAUCUGACGAAGAAACCCAAGCUGGACCUAAGCCUAGAAACGAAGUGCUAUUAUUGCAAGGGUAUGGGUCACGNNNNNNNNNNNNNNNNNNNNNNNNNNNNNNNNNNNNNNNNNNNNNNNNNNNNNNNNNNNNNNNNNNNNNNNNNNNNNNNNNNNNNNNNNNNNNNNNNNNNAACGUCCUUGAGCGGUAGUCACUGAUGGCGAACCCUUUAAUCGAUCGAAAGCGACCAACACCAGAUCUUGUUGUCGCUUACGUACGAUGAGAAACCCUAACCUCGCUAUCACAAGGAGAUGACAGAAAUCUACACCGAAGCUUCGUCGAACCCGUCCUCUCGGACGAACUCGAGGAGGAUCAAAGUUCGGAAAACCAACUCGAAGAUGAAGCGUCAUCAUCGGUCCAAAUGUCGCCCCUGCGGCAGGGUCUGCACGCUUAAGGUUCGACGCUGUUUUAUGCGUAUUUGAGUUAUAUGGUUGGUUACCGAAUGUUGUUCGGAGUCCCGGAUGAGAUCACGGACAUCACGAGGGUUUCCGGAAUGGUCCGGAAACGAAGAUUGAUAUAUAGGAUGACCUCAUUUGAUUAUCGGAAGGUUUUCGGAGUUACCGGGAAUGCACCGGGAAUGACGAAUGGGUUCCGAAUGUUCACCGGGGGGCAGCCCACCCCGGGGAAGCCCAUAGGCCUUGGGUGGCACACCAGCCCCUUAAGGUGUGUGCAUGUCUCUCUCUCUAGGUGUUCAGCAAGGAUGAUUGUGACACAACAAAAUAAAGCUCAUAUGAUACAAGACGCUCCAAGCAAAAAUACAUAAUAUGUGGUGAAUAAAAUAUAGCCCCAAGUAACGUUACCGAUGGAUUGAAGACGAGAGAGGGGAUGCCUUCCCGGGGCAUCCCCAAGCUUAGGCUUUUACGGCCGUCUCAGNNNNNNNNNNNNNNNNNNNNNNNNNNNNNNNNNNNNNNNNNNNNNNNNNNNNNNNNNNNNNNNNNNNNNNNNNNNNNNNNNNNNNNNNNNNNNNNNNNNNAGUAGCAACAGAGUAACAGUAGCAGCAGUGACAGCAGUAGCAACAAAGUAAUGUAGCAAGGACCAGUAGUAAAAGACUCGUAGGCAUUGGAUCGGUGAUGGAUGAUUAUGCCGGAUGCUAUUCAUCAUGCAACAGUUAUAACACGGAGAGAUAAGUAACUAGCUUCAGUUCGAACGAUCUAAUGUAGGCAUGUAUUCCGUAUGUAGUCAUACGUGCUUAGGGAAAAUAACUUGCAUGACAUCUAUUGUCCAUCCCUCCCGUGGCAGUGGGGUCCUAAUGGAAACUACGGGAUAUUAAGGUUCUCCUUUUAAUAAAGAACUGGACCAACGCAUUAACACGCGGUGAAUACAUGAACUCAUACAAUGGUCAUCUCCGGGAGUGGUUCCGGCUAUUGUUACUCCGGGGUUGUCGGGUCAUAACAUAUAGUAGGUGACUACAACUUGCAAGAUAGGAUCUAAAACACACAUAUAUUGGCGACAACAUAAUAGGUUCAGAUCUGAAAUCAUGGCACUCGGGCCCUAGUGACAAGCAUUAAGCAUAGCCAAGUAGUAGCAACAUCAAUCUAGAACAUAGUGGAUACUAGGGAUCAAUCCCCGUCAAAAACUAACUCGAUUACAUGAUAGAUCUCAUCCAACUCAUCACCGUCCAGCAAGCCUACAAUGAUAUUACUUAUGAACAAUGAAGAGCAUCAUGGAAUUGUCGAUGGAGAAAGGUUGAUGAUGACGAUGGCGACGAUUUCCCCUUNUCCGGAGCCCGAAACGGCUCCACAUCUGCCCUCCAGAUGAAGAACAGGAUGUGGCGCGCCUCCGUAUCGCAAAACGCGAUGAAACCUUCUCUCUGANNNNNNNNNNNNNNNNNNNNNNNNNNNNNNNNNNNNNNNNNNNNNNNNNNNNNNNNNNNNNNNNNNNNNNNNNNNNNNNNNNNNNNNNNNNNNNNNNNNNUACACCCCUGCAGGGUUAUGAUCUAUUUGAAUAGCCGCGUCCGCGGAUAUGGACUACUUGGAAACAUAUGUUGUUCAUAGACAACUAUAAUGGCUACUCAUAAAAUGUCAAGAUAAGUGUGAGUGUCGUGGAUGGCAUUUACGUAGGAAGACGGAAUGAUUCCACGAUGGAGUAUUGUUGUGGUGUUAGUGGACUAGUGUGCGAGAAAACAAGUGGUCAAAGCUAUUUGAAAAUGUAAGUUUGUCUAGCCAAGAGUCAAGUGAUGGCUUUUUGCAUGAAACUCCACAACUCCUUGUUGAUACAUUGCAUGAGCAGAUAGGUUAUCCUAAAGUCUUGCUGAGUACCUUUGUACUCACGUUUGCUUAAUAACUUGUUGCAGAGGUUGUUAAUGACCCUAAUGGUGGGUUCYUUCUAGACGUUGACGACGACUAGUAGCUGGUGUCCCAGCUACGAUCUGGCCCUAGGUUGGUCUGUAGAUAGUCAGGCCAAGUGCCUUUUACUUCCAUAUGUCUGUACUCAUACUAGUUUUAANNNNNNNNNNNNNNNNNNNNNNNNNNNNNNNNNNNNNNNNNNNNNNNNNNNNNNNNNNNNNNNNNNNNNNNNNNNNNNNNNNNNNNNNNNNNNNNNNNNNCGUACUAGGAGAAAAAAAUUAAGGCAGACAUAACGAACUAAUAAAUAGACUCAAAACAAAUUUUAGAGACAACCACAACAGACAAGAUAGCAUAACCACUCAACUAUCAAGUUCAAUUCUAUGGUCAUCAAACUUACUUUCUUUUCCUUGGAAUAAAAGAAACCCGGAGUAACUCUCAGCAAAGCAGGUGUCGAUCACCAGCGAAUGUAGACGAGCCGUAGCAAGCUACAAGGACUCCAUUACAUCGCGUGACAUUUCCCCAAAGGGACAGACACAGCAGCUAAGAAGGACACAUGCCGGUCAACCAAUGUGUCCGGAGCAGUAGCGAACUACCAUGGCUCGUUGGAAUCACAAAGGGGCAUUUCCCUCUAAGGAGUACCACUAAAGCCAACGGCUAGGUGUUCGAACCCCAUACAUAUCAAGUACAACACACGUAUGCAUGGCAUACCGAUAUGUAUAGAUACAUCGAUGGCAUCACAACAUAACCAUAAACAUACCAAACUUUAUUUAGAAGGCUCGGAAGAGCCACACACAUAAUAUUACAAGGUAGGGGUCUCACGAUCCAUCAUCACAAGUCAUACACACAAUUAUUACAUGCUAGCGAAACGACUGAGCAAAACUCUAAUCCUCAUCUCUUCCGCUUUAGCCGCCACCAACCCCACCGCCGCCUCCGAUGGCCGGCCCGACGGUCGAAAUGAAGAGCCAAGNNNNNNNNNNNNNNNNNNNNNNNNNNNNNNNNNNNNNNNNNNNNNNNNNNNNNNNNNNNNNNNNNNNNNNNNNNNNNNNNNNNNNNNNNNNNNNNNNNNNAUCUGCAACAAGACCUCAGUUGCAAAAAAGUUCUGCAACACAAACCAUGUUUCCGAAAGAUAAAUAGUGGUUUAGAAUUUUUUCUCAACAAGCAUCCUGUUGCAGGACUUGUUCUGCAACAUCGAUCUUGUUACAAAAGGGAGGUGGUGCUCGUGGACGAUAGAUCGGAUGGCUAUUCCCGUGUACAUCCAACGGCCAACGAGACGGUGGAUGUUUUCUCAUAAUCCGCCGGCCGACACGUAACGUAACCCAAUUUAUAAUGCUAAUGUUUCUUCUGACUGAUGUGUAAGCAAUGAAAUAAUAGCAUUUGCAACAUUUAGCUGAUCUCUGAGUUCUCUUGUAGUUAUGAGGAGGCUAAGAAGAGGAUGUAUGCUCUUAGUACAACAACAUAUGUUGGUUUUCAAGCUGUAAUGACUGAGGAAAUGUCAGAAAAAUUUCGCGGUGAGAGGAUGUGAUACCUAGACUUAUAUUCUGUUUGAAAUGUUUUGCUAUUCUAUAAUUUAAGUACCUACUUUCUUUGCAUUUUGAUCAGGAUUGCCUGGAGUUGUUUUCAUCUUGCCUGAUUCAUAUUUAUACCCAGAGACAAAGGAGUAUGGAGGUUUGUUCUAUUCUUGUUCAUAAAUUACCGUUUAGUAGCUUCAUAUGCCCCUGAUCUUAUCUGUAUGUGUGAAUUGGUUUCAUCAGGAGACAAAUAUGAGAAUGGUGUCAUAACUCCAAGACCACCACCUGUUCAGUAUAGCAAACCGUCAAGGACUGACAGAAACCGCAACUAUCGUGGAAAUUACGAAAACAGUCCUCCAUCGCAAGGUAAUUACCAGAACAGCGCUCCACCCCAAGGAAAUUACCAGAACAGCUCGCCACCACAAGGAAACUUCCAAGCGUACCGUCCGCAGCAAGAUGUAAGAGGCCAUGCUCCACAGCAGAAUUACACACAAGCUGGACAAGAUGGCAGAGGUUAUGGGAGGAAUGAUUCUGCCGACCGUUCAGGUUACAAUGCGCCUGGUGGGUACCAAGGGCGUGUAAAUGAAGCCGGUCAAGGUUUCCAAAACCCACAAGAGCGCAGGAGUUUCUCGCAAGGACAGGCAGGAGAUCUCAGGCCUGGUGGCCCUUCUGCAC